AACGAACGCUGGCGGCGCGUCUUAAGCAUGCAAGUCGAACGGUAAGGGAGAGCUUGCUCUCCCCUAGAGUGGCGGACUGGUGAGUAACGCGUGGGUGACCUGCCCUGAAGAUGGGGAUAGCUAGUAGAAAUAUUAGAUAAUACCGAAUGUGCUUGGCAGAAUAAAGUCUGUCAAGGAAAGGAGCUACGGCUCCGCUUUAGGAUGGACCCGCGUCCCAUUAGCUAGUUGGUAAGG
rnacentral:rRNA from 1 species